GGGCUUGUUUGGAUUUGACGGCAAGACGAAAUGGUACGUAAGCACGCGGAGCGUCGUUAGUUUGCUCCUAAAUAUCAGCUAUCAACAAAUUAAUUGGCGAAAACAAUUACGCUCUCGCUGCCUAACCGAAGUACAGUAGGUUACUGGCUUUAUCCGGCUAUCAGAUAGCUGGACGAGACAUCGCUCCGAGGAUGUUGUUCCGAAUCCGGAGGUCAAGCGAUGCAGGACAAUCGGAAAUAGUCUGUGUACGCCUCGCUGCACAGAUGAAGACUUAGAGGAUAAGAUGCCGGUUGGUGGUCCAGGUCUUGCCGGCAUACGAAAACCGAAGACUGGAAUAAACGUGUAGAAAGCGUAUGGUUUCCUUGUGCGGACGUGGGUUCGACUCCCACCAGCUCCACUU
rnacentral:tmRNA from 1 species